CUACGGGGUGCAGCAGGCGAGAAAACUUUGCAAUGUGCGAAAGCACGACAAGGUUAAUCCGAGUGGUUUCUGCUAAAGGAACCUUUUGACAGUCCUAGAAACACUGUUGAAUAAGGGGUGGGCAAGUUCUGGUGUCAGCCGCCGCGGUAAAACCAGCACCUCAAGUGGUCAGGAUGAUUAUUGGGCCUAAAGCAUCCGUAGCCGGCUCUGUAAGUUUUCGGUUAAAUCUGUACGCUCAACGUACAGGCUGCCGGGAAUACUGCAGAGCUAGGGAGUGGGAGAGGUAGACGGUACUCGGUAGGAAGGGGUAAAGUCCUUUGAUCUAUUGAUGACCACCUGUGGCGAAGGCGGUCUACCAGAGAACGUCCGACGGUGAGGGAUGAAAGCUGGGGGAGCAAACCGGAUUAGAUACCCCCGUAGUC
rnacentral:rRNA from 1 species